GAUGAACGCUGGCGGCGUGCUUAACACAUGCAAGUCGAGCGAGCGGCGGACGGGUGAGUAAUGCCUGGGGAUCUGCCCGAUAGUGGUGGAUAACUACUGGAAACGGUGGCUAAUACCGCAUACUAUUGGAUGAACACAUAUGGGAUUAGCUAGUAGGUGGGGUAAAGGCUCACCUAGGCGACGAUCUCUAGCUGGUCUGAGAGGAUGAUCAGCAACACUGGGACUGAGACACGGUCCAGACUCCUACGGGAGGCAGCAGUGGGGAAUAUUGCACAAUGGGCGCAAGCCUGAUGCAGCCAUGCCGCGUGUAUGAAGAAGGCCUUAGGGUUGUAAAGUACUUUCAGCGAGGAGGCGUUACCCGCAGAAGAAGCACCGGCUAACUCCGUGCCAGCCGCCGCGGUAAUAC
rnacentral:rRNA from 1 species